UGGUCAUUGGCACUUCGGGCUCGUCUCUAUUGGAACGUGAGGGCGGUGACCGCGAGAGCAGCGGCGGUCGCACUGGACAAGAGGUGGCCGCGGAAACGCUGGCGGCGACGAAAACUUUGAGCACGGG
rnacentral:ribozyme from 1 species